rnacentral:rRNA from 1 species
UACAGAGGUCUCGAGCGUUGUUCGGAUUUAUUGGGCGUAAAGGGCGCGUAGGCGGCUCGAAACGUCUGUUGUGAAAUCGCCCGGCUCAACUGGGCGGGGUCAGCGGAUACGAUCGAGCUUGAGCAAGCUAGGGGGCAAUGGAAUUCCCGGUGUAGUGGUGGAAUGCGUAGAUAUUGGGAGGAACACCAGUGGCGAAGGCGGCUCACUGGACCGGUACUGACGCUGAAGCGCGAAAGCGUGGGGAGCAAACGGG